UGGGGAAUAUUGCACAAUGGGCGCAAGCCUGAUGCAGCCAUGCCGCGUGUGUGAAGAAGGCCUUCGGGUUGUAAAGCACUUUCAGCGAGGAGGAAGGUGGUGAACUUAAUACGUUCAUCAAUUGACGUUACUCGCAGAAGAAGCACCGGCUAACUCCGUGCCAGCAGCCGCGGUAAUACGGAGGGUGCAAGCGUUAAUCGGAAUUACUGGGCGUAAAGCGCACGCAGGCGGUUUGUUAAGUCAGAUGUGAAAUCCCCGGGCUCAACCUGGGAACUGCAUUUGAAACUGGCAAGCUAGAGUCUCGUAGAGGGGGGUAGAAUUCCAGGUGUAGCGGUGAAAUGCGUAGAGAUCUGGAGGAAUACCGGUGGCGAAGGCGGCCCCCUGGACGAAGACUGACGCUCAGGUGCGAAAGCGUGGGGAGCAAACAGGAUUAGAUACCCCUGGUAGUCCACGCUGUAAACGAUGUCGAUUUUGGAGGUUGUGCCCUUGAGGCGUGGCUUCCGGAGCUAACGCGUUAAAUCGACCGCCUGGGGAGUACGGCCGCAAGGUUAAAACUCAAAUGAAUU
rnacentral:rRNA from 1 species